GUCAGAAGGAAACGGACAAAUUCUCGAACCAGACGGCGUAAACGAUCAAGUGACUCCAACAGGAGUUCACGUAAUGACAAAGAUUUCAACUUACUGGAUGACAGUGCAAGUCUAAGACGACUAAGUGUAUCGGACAAUGAAUCAAAUUAUUCAUUCGAAAGUGAUAGCAGACUAUCCAGUCCUAACAGUGUACUCAAUGGAGAAUAUUUUGAUCCUGUAAGGGGACAUAACAUUCUAAUACGAAAUAAGACGAACUGGUGAAUGACAUAACUCAGGAGUAUUAAACUAAAAAGGUUCCUCACAUUUUG